UCAUGGACAUGAUUUUCCUCUUUUUUCCCGGAGACAAGCACUGUAACAAAUUGCUGUAGUUUCUACAGCAAAAUUUUACAGGAAAUUCCUGUUUUAACAUUUUACAAGAUUUUAGUGUUGUUCACAAUGCAUUAUGGGUAAAAGAAGGUAUUACAGCUGUUAACAGUAUAUUUUCAUUUAAACUGUAAUUGAAUUUACAGGCAGAAGGUGUUGCCACUGUAUAUCAUAUGUUUUUACAAAAAUUAAUUGUGAAAUGGCAUCAUGGGAUUGCGUGGGUGUAUUUACAUUUGAAAUGGACAUGAACACUGAAGAGUCAUCAUUCAAAAUUGUUGGCAUGAGCGAGGCAGCAAAAAGUGCGAGGGGUCUCAUAACGGCUGGACUGCAAGGUGGAGAGACGAAUCUUCAAACUUAAAGGCACGAGACAGCAGAGAUUGCAACUCUAACCUGAUAGGACUGGUGGUGUGAGACAAAUGAGAAAAGAUUAUUUUUAGGUGAAAUCCUCAAUGCAACUCAGUGGAUGCUGAGUAUGGACGGUCAGGUGGUUGUGAAUCCACACCCCAACCUUGUGGCUGGAUUUGCAGCUUUGUUCGCAUCAUACUACAACUUCAACCUGGUUUACCAGAGGGAGGCAUCCUCCACACUUGAAUUUGUUCAAAGAUGUUUUGUUGGAAUCACAGCUACCACUGGCAUCAAGACAGCAUCAAGAGGCAAAAAAGUGGAAACGCCUCUGAGAAGAGAAACAACACCAUCAACCCUCAUGUGUGUACUCUUUUCAGAAAAUUAUUUGACUUUGAAUGGUUACGCAUGUAAGUUCUUGUUCAUGUAUAAAGACCAAAACAUGUUGUAAAUAGGCCAGUUCUGUGAUUGAACACUUGUGUUUCUAGACAUACAAGUUAUGUCAUGUUCUAACACAGAUUCAACAAGAUCUUAAAUGUAACACAAACCGUGUUUAGAUGUUUUAUAGAUGCCAUUGUUUUGGAAUAUUCAGGAUUGAGUGGAAUAGUUGCUGAAACAACAUCAUUUUUUUUUAAAGUACUUUGCUGUCAGUUUUAA